rnacentral:rRNA from 1 species
AGCGAACGCUGGCGGCAUGCCUAACACAUGCAAGUCGCACGGGGGGGCUUCGGCCUCCCAGUGGCGGACGGGUGAGGAACGCGUAGGGACCUGUCGAGGGGUGGGGGAUAACCGCGGGAAACUGCGGCUAAUACCGCAUGACGCCGCGGCGUGACAGCCGGGGCCAAAGGCGAAAGCCGCCCGCCGAGGGGCCUGCGUCCGAUUAGCUGGUUGGCGGGGUAGCGGCCCACCAAGGCGUCGAUCGGUAGCUGGUCUGAGAGGGUGAUCAGCCACACCGGGAAUGAGACACGGCCCGGACUACUACGGGAGGCAGCAGUGGGGAAUAUUGGAAGAUGAGCGCAAGCCUGAUACAGCAAUGCCGCGUGGGUGAAGAAGGUCCUCGGAUUGUAAAGACCUUUCGGCGGGGACGAUGGUGACGGUACCCGCAGAAGAAGCCCCGGCUAACUUCGUG